AUGGAGAAGAUAACUCCAAGAGUCAUGGAGCACCUCAAGCGGCUCAAGGCAGCAACGCGCAGGGGCACUGUUCUAUCUCUACGUUUGGAGGAAUAUAUCUUGAAGCAUCUUUUUCAUGUCGCGAUUGAGUGGAUGCGGGUCCGGAUCGUCGAGACGAUGGAGAACGAGACGACGGCAAGAAUCACAAAUCAACUCAAGGCAGCGGCGAUGGAGAACGAGACGACGGCGAGACUCGUGAAACACGUCAAGGCAGCCGCUCGCCGGAUCGAUGGUCGUUAUCUACGUUGGGAGCAACAACUCCCGAUGGUUCUCUUUUUUGCCUUGAUUCUGUUAGCGUUGCUCCUUUUAGUGCUAAUCAUCCAAAUUAAAGGCCUCUCCGUCGUCGGCAUUUUGUCCACUAUGUACCUCGCUAGCUUACUAUCUAGGUACGUGUCCCAUGUAAUGUAA
rnacentral:rRNA from 1 species